rnacentral:rRNA from 1 species
GAUGAACGCUGGCGGCGUGCCUAAUACAUGCAAGUCGAGCGAACAGACGAGGAGCUUGCUCCUCUGACGUUAGCGGCGGACGGGUGAGUAACACGUGGAUCACCUACCUAUAAGACUGGGAUAACUUCGGGAAACCGGAGCUAAUACGGUAGAAUAUAUUGAACCGCAUGGUUCAAUAGUGAAAUACGGUUUUGCUGUCUCUUAUAGAGGGAUCCGCGCCGCAUUAGCUAGUUGGUACGGUAACGGCUUACCAAGGCAACGAUGCGUAUCCGACCGCAGAGGGGGGUCGGCCACACUGGAACGGAGACAGGGACCAGAGUCCUACGGGAGGCAGCAGUCGGGAAUGUGCCGCAACGGGCGAAAGCAUGACGGAGCAACGGCGCGCGAGAGAUGACGGUCUCGGGAGCGGAAAAAUCUGUUACUAGGGAAGAACAAAUGUGGACGGAAACAUGGACGUCGUGACGGUACCUAAUCAGAAAGCCACGGCUAACUACGUG